UACGUAGGAGGCAAGCGUUGUCCGGAAUCACUGGGCGUAAAGGGUGUGUAGGCGGUUGUUUAAGUUUGGUGUGAAAUCUCCCGGCUCAACUGGGAGGGUGCGCCGAAUACUGAAUGACUUCGAGUGCGGGAGAGGAAAGUGGAAUUCCUGGUGUAGCGGUGAAAUGCGUAGAUAUCAGGAGGAACACCGGUGGUGUAGACGGCUUUCUGGACCGUAACUGACGCUGAGACACGAAAGCGUGGGUAGCAAACAGG
rnacentral:rRNA from 1 species